GGACUACUGGGGUAUCUAAUCCCGUUCGCUCCCCUAGCUUUCGCGCCUCAGCGUCAGUUACAAGCUAGCAAUCCGCCUUCGCCACUGGUGUUCCUUCGCAUAUCUACGCAUUUCACUACUACAUGCGAAAUUCCAAUUGCCUCUCUUGCACUCCAGCCCCGCAGUAUUGGACGCAGUUUCGAGGUUGAGCCUCGAACUUUCACAACCAACUUACGGAACCGCCUACGCGCUCUUUACACCCAGUAAAUCCGGAUAACGCUCGCCCCCUACGUAUUACCGCGGCUGCUGGCAC
rnacentral:rRNA from 1 species